UCGACGAAGGAUCGAUCGCGAUCCUUCAUAUCGUUGUCGUUUAGCUGAUCACAAUAACGUUUCUCGCGAUUUGUUUGAACAUUUAACUAUAUCGAACUCGAUUCUUCUUAGGAAAAGAAAUCUAUCAAAACUUGCUUAUGUUUUAAUCGUGACGGUACCAAAUAAUUAUUCAAACAAAUAAGACUAAUAGACACAAUCAAUUUUGCGGCACUCUUUUUGCGGCACUCUUUUUGCAUAAUAAACGUAUCGAAGAAAAAGUCAAAAAGAGAUAUCAUAUUGGUCAAUAUACUGGUCGUAACUGCUAGAAAUUCAAACAAGACAAGAAAAUGAGUUUCAAAACAAACUUGUUAUUCGUACUUAUUACCUUCAGUAUUUUGACGCUUGAGACACUAACAAUAAGUAUGAGAAAAAGAACUAGAAUAGCUUUUGACGAAACUUUGUGUGCUCUUCCGUAUAACGAAGGUUCUUGCGAUGAAAAUCUACCGAGAUGGUGGUAUAAUGAGAUUACGAGACGCUGUGAAAGUUUUAUAUAUAGGGGUUGUAAUGGAAAUAAAAAUAAUUUUGAACAUAAAGUAGAAUGCGAACGUAGAUGUGGACACAGUAUGCAGCAGUAUGUAAAAUUUUUGCGAGGAACUGGCUAUACUGGCAGAGUGACGUUUACGGAAUAGUUUGGUAAUGAGUUUAAAUAGAAGUACUAAUUGAAAGACUGUGAAAGAGUCUUUAUAAAAUACUUGUAAAAGUGUUUUAUUUUUACAAUAAUUGACUGUAAUAAAAUGAAAUGUACGGAUAUAUA